CAGUUAGUCCCAUCCUGUUCCCUGAUUAAGAGGUGAUGACCACUCCACUACCACUGUCAACUCUCUCCUGACAUGAACGGAAGCCACUUCCUCUCCAAACACUUGGAAGUUGAGCUCUUCUCCAACACCAUCCAUCCAUGAUGAACCUCUCCUGCACUGACGCCUCUGAACACCUCAAUCCCUGACUUGCAUUGAAGACUAUGAACACCUCAACUUAUGCCUCAUACUCUCAUUCAAUCACUGAUGUGAUCCCUUCCCAACACUGUAUGACCUGAGCCCUAGG